UACAGAGGGUGCAAGCGUUGUUCGGAAUUAUUGGGCGUAAAGGGUGCGUAGGCGGUUUGGUAAGUCUUAUGUGAAAUCUACAGGCUCAACUUGUAGUCUGCAUGAGAAACUGGCGGGCUUGAGUAUGGGAGAGGUGAGUGGAAUUCCCGGUGUAGCGGUGAAAUGCGUAGAUAUCAGGAGGAACACCUGUGGCGAAAGCGGCUCACUGGACCACAACUGACGCUGAGGCGCGAAAGCUAGGGGAGCAAACAGG
rnacentral:rRNA from 1 species